rnacentral:rRNA from 1 species
CGGGAGGCAGCAGUAGGGAAUCUUCCGCAAUGGGCGAAAGCCUGACGGAGCAAUGCCGCGUGAGUGAUGAAGGUUUUCGGAUCGUAAAGCUCUGUUGCCAGGGAAGAACGCUUGGGAGAGUAACUGCUCUCAAGGUGACGGUACCUGAGAAGAAAGCCCCGGCUAACUACGUGCCAGCAACCGCGGUAAUACGUAGGGGGCAAGCGUUGUCCGGAAUUAUUGGGCGUAAAGCGCGCGCAGGCGGUCAUUUAAGUCUGGUGUUUAAUCCCGGGGCUCAACCCCGGAUCGCACUGGAAACUGGGUGACUUGAGUGCAGAAGAGGAGAGUGGAAUUCCACGUGUAGCGGUGAAAUGCGUAGAGAUGUGGAGGAACACCAGUGGCGAAGGCGGCUUUUUGGUCUGUAACUGACGCUGAGGCGCGAAAGCGUGGGGAGCAAACAGGAUUAGAUACCCUGGUAGUCCACGCCGUAAACGAUGAGUGCUAAGUGUUAGGGGUUUCGAUACCCUUUGUGCUGCAGCUAACGCAUUAAGCACUCCGCCUGGGGAG